UACGUAGGGGGCUAGCGUUAUCCGGAGUUACUGGGCGUAAAGGGUGCGUAGGUGGCUUCUUAAGUCAGAGGUGAAAGGCUACGGCUCAACCGUAGUAAGCCUUUGAAACUGAGAAACUUGAGUGCAGGAGAGGAGAGUAGAAUUCCUAGUGUAGCGGUGAAAUGCGUAGAUAUUAGGAGGAACACCAGUGGCGAAGGCGGCUUUCUGGACUGUAACUGACACUGAGGCACGAAAGCGUGGGGAGCAAACA
rnacentral:rRNA from 1 species